CCUACGGGUGGCUGCAGUGAGGAAUAUUGGGCAAUGGAGGCCACUCUGACCCAGCCAUGCCGCGUGAGUGAAGACGGUUUUCGGAUUGUAAAGCUCUUUCGGAUGUGACGAUGAUGACGGUAGCAUCUAACGAAGCCCCGUCUAACUUCGUGCCAGCAGCCGCGGUAAUACGCAGGGGGCAAGCGUUGUUCGGAAUUACUGGGCGUAAAGGGAGUGUAGGCGGUUUAGUAAGUUAGUAGUGAAAUCCCAGAGCUUAACUUUGGAAUUUCCAUUUUAACUAGUAGACUAGAAUGACAGAGAGGUAAGUGGAAUACCCAGUGUAGAGGUGAAAUGCGUAGAUAUUAGGUAGAACACCAGUGGCGAAGGCGACUAUCUGGCUGUACAUUGACGCUGAGGCUCGAAAGCAUGGGGAUCAAACAGGAUUAGAUACCCUAGUAGUC
rnacentral:rRNA from 1 species